UAUUACUUAGCCAAGAUAUUUGUAUUGAUCUAUGAUUCAUAAUUUUUCUCCAGCAACUAUUAUGUCAGGAUUAAAUGAAGCUCUAUUGGUUUUACUGAAGAACAUACCUACAGUUUUCGAAAUAUUUAGUUGCAGGCAGUUCUCCUGCAGCCAGGAUGUAACACGAGUUAUUAACGGUGUCAUCCGCAUACAUUAAACAUUCUACUUCAGAGCAAACAUUAGGAAGUCAUUGAUAUAAAGGCUAAAUAAGAGUGGUCCUAAUAUUGAGCCCUGAGGAACCCCGGUGGUUAUCCUAAGCGACUCAGAAUUGCAGUUGUUAAUUAGUACAGAUUUUGUACAAUCAUGCAGGUAGGAUUCAAACCAGCUAACAGUGUCA